GCGCCCGUAGCUCAACUGGAUAGAGUGCCGGCCUACGAAGCCGAAGGUUACAGGUUCGACUCCUGUCGGGCGUA
rnacentral:tRNA from 1 species